AGACGUCUACAUUAGAUACCCCUGUAGUCCCAGCCGUAAACUAUGCGCGUUAGGUGUAUCGGUGACCACGAAUUACCGAGGUGCCGAAGGGAAACCGUGAAACGUGCCGCCUGGGAAGUACGGUCGCAAGGCUGAAGCUUAAAGGAAUUGGCGGGGGAGCACCACAACAGGUGGAGCCUGCGGUUUAAUUGGACUCAACGCCGGGAAGCUCACCGGAUAGGACAGCAGAAUGAUUGCCGGGCUGAAGACCCUGCAUGACUAGCUG
rnacentral:rRNA from 1 species